GGAUUGCCAAGAGCCUGCUGUUGCCUGGAGGUAGAGGUGCAGAGGUGAAGAGAGUCUUUGACGUUUCCCGGGGCAUAAGAUGUUUAAGCUACUGCUUACCUUGCGAGAAAGGAAUUUAAGAACUGCUGAGAUACUUGGUUUAUGUAAGCAACUGAGGAUGAUGUAUUGACAUCGAUUCCUGUUGAAAAUUUUGUUUUGUUGUAACCUGUAACAUCUAGCAGAUGGUAUUUUAUAUUUGCGUAAUAAAGAGUUCUUGGUGGAAGAA